AUGCCUUAAACUUAUGAGUAAGGAAAAUAAUGAUUCGCGGUGACGCCGGAGUCCUCACUGCCAAUGUGAGACAAAUUUUUGAAUGUGGAAAGGUUGCCCCUAAGGCAACCCACCUACUUUGCGGGAUCCCUAGGUGAAGUGAUCUGCCUG
ensembl:snRNA U12 U12 minor spliceosomal RNA